GCAUCACCACAUCCUUUCCCUGGAAAAAGAGCAGCUCCAUUGUACUGAAGGGGGUUGUAAUUAUUACCCAGUGGCUAUUCUAUCCCAGGGACCAAGCAAUGACAUCAAUAGACUUCUUUAGUUACAUCUUGGGCCUCUCACAAUUUCAAAUGUGUAACAGAUCUGCUCCAAGAGUUAUCCUGGGAAACAGGAGCGAAGAGAUGCCACAAAGUCACACUGCACAACAAACCACUGCACCUGACUUUUACAACAGAACGGAGAAUUGCUAAGCAGACUACACCAGAGAAGACAUGUGGAGUAGACACUGUGCCCUGCACUGACAUGCCUGCCAUCUAGGCUUUGAGGUGGUAUGCUCUGGCUCCAAUGAGCGUGGGUAACCCUUUUCCUAAGUUACAUUUAACUUCCUAGCUAUGCUGAUGUGCAGUAAUGUGGCUUCUCUCUUGAGAAUUGGUUUUAAUUAAAUUUAAUUAAAUUGGUUUU